CGUUACGGCCAUACCAACUGGCUAUGCCCAUCUCAUCUGAUCUCGGGAAGCUAAGCAGGUUUGGGCCUGGUUAAUACUUGGAUGGGAGACCGCCUGGGAAUACCAGGUGCUGUACUUU
rnacentral:rRNA from 1 species